rnacentral:lncRNA from 1 species
ACCCGAAGUCUGGCCAGCACCCAACCCUGUGGAGCACAAGCCAGGCCCGUCUGUCCGCCAAGUGAGCCGUAGUCGGAGAACAGAGACAUCGCGGACAACUAGCAAUCGCAGUUCGUCCAGUGGCAAGGGUGGUGGAAGCAGCACUGUCAAGCGAGGCACCGACACAAAAGCCUCCCGGAGAGAGGACAGCAAGCCACGCAGCAAGGAUGCCAAGAAGGAUGAACCUACUGCAACCAAGGAGGCUGCGCUGCAGAGAAGAA